rnacentral:RNase_P_RNA from 1 species
CCAGUCGGCUGGACGGCCGCGGCUGCUAUGCUCGAAAGGGUGCAGUCGAGGAAAGUCCGGGCUCCACGCGGAUACGGCGGCGGGUAACGCCCGCCGGAAGUAAUUCUAGGGAUAGCGCCACAGAGAACAGACCGCCCUCCGAAGCCUCGGCGUAGGAGGGUAAGGGUGAAACGGUGGGGUAAGAGCCCACCGCGCCAACCGUAAGGAAGGCGGCACGGCAAGCCCCGUCGGGAGCAAGACCGAAUAGGGAUGCGAUGGCGCCGCAAGGCGUACGGCCCGUCCGUGGGAGCGCAUCCGGGUAGGUCGCGAGAACCAUGCGGCGACGCAUGGUCCAGAGGAAUGGUCGUCACCCUGGGCUACGAUCCAGGGUACAGAACCCGGCUUACAGGCCGACUGGUAUU